rnacentral:lncRNA from 1 species
UUUAGUGUUAAUGCAUGUUAGAGAUAUGGUAUUAUGAACCAUAUUCCUAAAACAUACCACACUUAAAACAAAUGGCAAAAGGGUGGACCUAAUCUCAUCCAUACUUAUAUUGGUUUAUGAACCAAUUAGCCUUAGGAUAUAGAGACAUCAUAGGUCAAUGAAAUGGAUAGGAUAGAAAGGGAUUGAAGAUGAAGAGGGAGAGGAAAUGAGACAAACACAAAUUGGUCAUGGGAGGACUUUU